rnacentral:rRNA from 1 species
CCUACGGGAGGCAGCAGUGAGGAAUAUUGGUCAAUGGGCGGAAGCCUGAACCAGCCAAGUCGCGUGAGGGAAUAAGGCCCUACGGGUCGUAAACCUCUUUUGCCGGGGAGCAAGGGCGGGGACGUGUCCCGGCCCGGAGAGUACCCGGAGAAAAAGCAUCGGCUAACUCCGUGCCAGCAGCCGCGGUAAUACGGAGGAUGCGAGCGUUAUCCGGAUUUAUUGGGUUUAAAGGGUGCGUAGGCGGGCUUUUAAGUCAGCGGUAAAAAUUCGGGGCUCAACCCCGGCGAGCCGUUGAAACUGGCGGGCUGGAGUUGGAGAGAAGUACGCGGAAUGCGCGGUGUAGCGGUGAAAUGCUUAGAUAUCGCGCAGAACUCCGAUUGCGAAGGCAGCUUACUAAACUGCCACUGACAUUGAUGCUCGAAAGUGUGGGUAUCAAACAGGAUUAGAUACCCGAGUAGUC